rnacentral:rRNA from 1 species
AGUGAACGCUGGCGGUAGGCCUAACACAUGCAAGUCGAACGGCAGCACAGUAAGAGCUUGCUCUUACGGGUGGCGAGUGGCGGACGGGUGAGGAAUACAUCGGAAUCUACUUUUUCGUGGGGGAUAACGUAGGGAAACUUACGCUAAUACCGCAUACGACCUACGGGUGAAAGCAGGGGAUCUUCGGACCUUGCGCGAUUGAAUGAGCCGAUGUCGGAUUAGCUAGUUGGCGGGGUAAAGGCCCACCAAGGCGACGAUCCGUAGCUGGUCUGAGAGGAUGAUCAGCCACACGGGAACUGAGACACGGUCCAUACUCCUACGGGAGGCAGCAGUGGGGAAUAUUGGACAAUGGGCGCAAGCCUGAUCCAGCCAUACCGCGUGGGUGAAGAAGGCCUUCGGGUUGGAAAGCCCUUUUGUUGGGAAAGAAAAGCAGCAGGUUAAUACCCCGCUGUUCUGACGGUACCCAAAGAAUAAGCACCGGCUAACUUCGUG